UAGCUUUGUCCUAAGUCAAACUAUCCUAAAUUUAACCAAUUUAUUAUAGAGAAAAGUAUUGAUAUUUAUGACACCAAAUGGAUAUACUAUGAAAAAUAUAUUUCAUGAUGAAUCUAAUGAUACUUAUUUGGUAUCACGAAUAUUGAUACUUUUUGUAUAAAUUUGGUCAAACUUAAGAUGGUUUGACUUAGGAAAAAGCUAG
rnacentral:pre_miRNA from 1 species